CCUACGGGAGGCAGCAGUGGGGAAUAUUGCACAAUGGGGGAAACCCUGAUGCAGCGACGCCGCGUGAGUGAAGAAGUAAUUCGUUAUGUAAAGCUCUAUCAGCAGGGAAGAAAAUGACGGUACCUGAGUAAGAAGCCCCGGCUAACUACGUGCCAGCAGCCGCGGUAAUAAGUAGGGGGCAAGCGGUAUCCGGAUUUACUGGGGGAAAAAGGAGCGUAGACGGCAGUGCAAGUCUGGAGUGAAAGGCGGGGGCUCAACCCCCGGACUGCUCUGGAAACUGUACGGCUGGAGUGCAGGAGAGGUAAGUGGAAUUCCUAGUGUAGCGGUGAAAUGCGUAGAUAUUAGGAGGAACACCAGUGGCGAAGGCGGCUUACUGGACUGUAACUGACGUUGAGGCUCGAAAGCGUGGGGAGCAAACAGGAUUAGAUACCCCUGUAGUC
rnacentral:rRNA from 1 species